UUUGCCUACGGGACGCAGCAGUGAGGAAUAUUGGUCAAUGGGCGGGAGCCUGAACCAGCCAAGUCGCGUGAGGGAAGACGGUCCUAUGGAUUGUAAACCUCUUUAGGCGGGGAGCAAUGCGGGGCACGUGUGCCCGGAGGGAGAGUACCCGCAGAAUAAGCAUCGGCUAACUCCGUGCCAGCAGCCGCGGUAAUACGGAGGAUGCGAGCGUUAUCCGGAUUUAUUGGGUUUAAAGGGUGCGUAGGCGGAUUUUUAAGUUAGCGGUAAAAUGUCCGGGCUCAACCCGG
rnacentral:rRNA from 1 species